AGACAUCGCAAAGUUUAAUGCAAAUAAUAAUACGUUCACAAUUGGAUUGGAAUGGAAAAUAUAUGAGUACUUAGGAAAGAGAUGGAUGACCAACGUACAGCACCUGGUGGGUUGGUGUCUCGGAUCCGUUUCCCGUCCAUUUCCUUGUCUACUACUCGCUAUGCUUUCGGAGCUCUGCGAACAGAACAAAAGUAAAGAAGAAGGAUAAAAGAAGAGGGAGGCCAGGAGGGGAACUCUUUUUCCAGCUUUGCCUUCUCAUUAUUCCUCGGGAUCGCCCAUCUGCUCCUCUGUCUGCCUCUCCUGCUUCUUUGUCACCCCUCCUCUUUCUUUCUCUUUCCCUUUCUCUGCUCCCAAAACAGUACACUUUAGUUUAAGGAAAAGAAAGCCAGAGAGAGCCGAGAAAGAGAGAGAGGGAGAGGGAGGUGUCCCUU
rnacentral:lncRNA from 1 species